AACACAGUAAUUAGGGGAGCAGGAGCUGCACUGAUGAAAUCAGCAGAGGCUGAGGUGCUCUGUGUGGGUGGAUGGUUCACCAGGCUGUUUCCAGGUGAGGAAAGGUGAGCUGGAAAACUUCCAUUGCCAGUAUCUUCCAUAAGACACCUCUCCAUGCAGAAGGAGAGACAGUACAUUUCCCAUUGCAAGUGUUCCAGCAGCAGAGAUUGGCAGGUGUGUUCAUGUAAGAGGGCCCUGCACAAGCUGCUGAGCCUGGAUCCUGUUGGGAAGCUGCUGCAGCUUUUCCAGAAGUGAGAGCUCCCUCGUUCUUGUUUUUGUGAGAAGUGAGUAGUCCUGCACAUGCAAAGUCUUCAUUAAUGACUACAUCACAAUGAGCUGGGUUCCUUCAUUCCUCAUCCCACCUGCCAGCUCCUGGGCUGCUCCACAUUCUGUCAAAACCAGGCAUCUUGGGCAGAUUUACUCAAUGUCCCACAUCCUUCCCUGUGCACCCUCUUCCUGCUGGUAGCCAGCCACAGUGAUGUUACAACACCCAUUUCCAUCUCUGUGGAUUCCCUUUGGAAGGAGACACAGAGGGGUGUCUGGAAGUGCUUUUUCCCAUGUUUAGUACAGGGCAGCAGCUGAGGGAAGCAGCACACUGUGGUCCAUCUCCUGCCAGCUGUGCAUCAGCCCCCAGAGCAGCUCCAUGAACACACGUUGGCUUCCCUGCAUGGCACAGGGGUGGUAGAGACCUUGGAGCUGCAACAGGACAGGACCUCUGUGCUGGACACACAGCUGGGCAGGGGCAGCAGGACAUGGGGAUCCCCUGACAUCCUUUGUGGAUGGAUCAUUUGCCCUGUGGCUGCCAAUUGGUGCCCAGUGCCCUCCUUCAGUGGCGCAGGUGUGAGGCUGCCUCGCCCCUGAUUU
rnacentral:lncRNA from 1 species